AAUCUUUAUGACCUGAAAUCAAGU
rnacentral:rRNA from 1 species